GCAGAGUAGACAGCUGCGCGUGAAGUGCCGCCGGGACGGGGAGUUGCCCGGUGGACGAAAGGACGCAUUCCUGCGGUGCCGCUGUCGCAUCCCGCUGC
rnacentral:ncRNA from 1 species